GAGUUUGAUUAUGGCUCAGAUUGAACGCUGGCGGCAUGCUUUACACAUGCAAGUCGAACGGCAGCACGGAAGAGCUUGCUCUUUUGGUGGCGAGUGGCGAACGGGUGAGUAAUACAUCGGAACGUACCGAGUAGUGGGGGAUAACUGUCCGAAAGGAUGGCUAAUACCGCAUAUUCUCUGAGGAGGAAAGCAGGGGACCUUCGGGCCUUGCGCUAUUUGAGCGGCCGAUGUCUGAUUAGCUAGUUGGUGGGGUAAAGGCCUACCAAGGCGACGAUCAGUAGCGGGUCUGAGAGGAUGAUCCGCCACACUGGGACUGAGACACGGCCCAGACUCCUACGGGAGGCAGCAGUGGGGAAUUUUGGACAAUGGGGGGAACCCUGAUCCAGCCAUGCCGCGUGUCUGAAGAAGGCCUUCGGGUUGUAAAGGACUUUUGUCAGGGAAGAAAAGCUUGAGGUUAAUACCCUUGGGUGAUGACGG
rnacentral:rRNA from 1 species